AUGUUUUUUUAAAAAGAAGCCUGUCACCGUAGUCCAUUAAUGACGUUAAUUACAACUUCUUAGGAAUGUGCCAUAAAAAAUAAGCAGUGAGCCCUUUCCAAUUCCCAUUUUAUUCACGGCUGGUUUCUAGCACUGAACAACAGAAACCACUUAGCAGAGAGCGGUUGCUAGUGGAAACCAGGAAGCCACUGACAAUCAGAAGACUCUAGAAUUCAGAAAGCCACAGGUGUGCCCGGGGAAGGAGGGGGCGUUUCUCACCUCUUCCCCGAGGAGGACAGAUGAACUCCCCGCCCAUAAAAUAUUUAAUUUCUCUGAGCGACUAAGGCUGUCCCCACUGCCCCUCCUGUCACUCGCAUCCCUCCCCAGAUCUGCCUCAGCUCUGCCUCUGUUGACCCCGCUCCCUCUUCCUGCAUUUCCUAACUCCAGGAAGGGAGCUGCUGUCAGCUCUGCAAAUUCUGGCCUGAAAAUACCUGCGUGUGCUCACUCCACCCACCCCCUCCUCGUGGCCACAGGCCAAAGCCUCGUCCUGUCUUGUCUGAACCCCAAACAGCUUGUCUAUUUUUAAUAGCAAUUAGAACCAUUUUUUAAACAUAUGUAUUUUUAAAUAGUAUAAGGGUAUAAAAUGAAAAACAGGUCCUCCUUACCCCAGAGGAGGCCCCUGCUAACAGAUUCUAGUGUGUUCUAGAAAGGUUCUGUGUACACAGUAAAACGAGCGUUAUUACUGAGAUCAUUUACUAAGCACGCCCGUGUGCCAACCAGGGUCCUAAGCACCUCUCGGGCGACUCGCUCAAGACGCACGCCCCUGGGAUCUUGGAGUAGUUCUGUCUUUUAACUUUGAGGCAGGAUGGUGAACAAUGGCUAGCAAAUCAUAAUGUAACUUUUAAUCCAGAUCACCUGUUUCCGCCACCGCAUCCGGGACUCGAAUUACACAGUCAGCUAUGUGGGAUGCAGCACCUUAAUUUCCCUGCCACCUGUUGGUCCCGUUCCCAGUGAUCUUAAACCAACAUGUGAUCUGGCCUCCCAGGGACGAGUACAGAACCUGCCAAAUAUUAGGGGAUCAAUAGAAGACUGCUGAAUACAUGAAUAAAUAAAGGUAGAUAAAUGGAAGGCUUUGAUUUUGCUGAGAAGCAAAUUCAUUUCAACGCAAAUCGGGACUCCCUGCGGAGGAGGACGGUGAGUCUAAUACCACAGAACACACCCCGAAGUCGGGGUGCCGUGGAGCACGCAUCCCAGGGAGGCCAGACGCUGCCUCUGAAGCCGUGUGUGGGUUUCAGAGGCGGAGAGAGGCGAGGUUUUAGUUCCAAUUACCUGUUCGUAUCAAAGAACCCCCAUUAUGCCUUGUCAGCUCUCAGGUGUAUUUUAUGUAAAAUAUUAGUGUUAUUUAAUACGGCUUUUUUUUUUCUGCCCUAAGCUAGACUUUAUUUCCUCAAUUUACAUAUUUCCCGGGAUGAAGCUCGUGUAUAAGAAAACUGGAUUUUUUUUCCCCCCUUAACCACAGAGCAUGUGCACUCACCAGAGAUAGACAGUGACAGAGAGAGGGGAAACAUGACCCCAGGGAGCACGGUCAUGCCCCUUCUCUUUAUUUCUCCUGGAGAGAUUUAGGCACCACAC